UACGGAGGGUGCAAGCGUUAUCCGGAUUUAUUGGGUUUAAAGGGUCCGUAGGCGGUCUAUUAAGUCAGUGGUGAAAGCCCUCUGCUCAACAGAGGAACUGCCAUUGAUACUGAUAGUCUUGAGUACAAGUGAGGUUGGCGGAAUGUGUGGUGUAGCGGUGAAAUGCUUAGAUAUCACACAGAACACCGAUUGCGAAGGCAGCUGGCCAACUUGUAACUGACGCUGAGGGACGAAAGUGUGGGGAUCAAACAGG
rnacentral:rRNA from 1 species